UACGAAGGGGGCUAGCGUUGCUCGGAAUCACUGGGCGUAAAGCGCACGUAGGCGGCUUCUAAGUCAGGGGUGAAAUCCUGGAGCUCAACUCCAGAACUGCCUUUGGAUACUGGAGAGCUUGAGUCCGGGAGAGGUGAGUGGAACUCCGAGUGGUAGAGGUGAAAUUCGUAGAUAUUCGGAAAGAACACCAGUGGCGAAGGCGGCUCACUGGCCCGGUACUGACCGCUGAUGUGCGAAAGCGUGGGGAGCAAACAGG
rnacentral:rRNA from 1 species